AAAAGCAGAGAGCCAAAGCAGAGGAAUCAGUCUACUGAAAGAGUGAACAGACCUCUUCUUCUCUCCCGAAGGCUUACAGAGCUUCUUCCAACCCAUCAUGGGGGAUACUAAGCUCUGCCUUCUGCUACUGCUAGGCACCUAUGCCUUGGCCCAGCAAGAUAUUGGGAAUUCUGAGGGACAAUCUCCAACUUGUCUCUUGGCAAAGAGGUUCAAGAACUUCAGAAGAUUUCUGUACCAGUAUGAAGCCGAGACACUUAAUGGUGUAAAUGGAGCUACCAACCUCAAGAAUGGCCCUAAAGUAACCUGCAAGGUCGAAAUUGAUGUGCCCCAAACAUGCAGUUUCAUCCUGCGCACCCCAGAGUGCUCCCUGAGCGAGGUCGUCCACGUCGACACAGAGGGUUCCGCUGUGUUCGCGCCCGCUGCUGGUGCUGAGGCUUUCCAGGCUGCCAUGGCGAAGAACCCCCUGAAGGUCAUGGUUGAGGGACAGACAGGUGUGAAACUCUUCCCUGAGGAGGAUGAGACCACCACCAUCUUAAACAUCAAGAGGGGAAUUGUCUCAGCCCUUAUCGUGCCUGCCUUGGAGGAAGAGAAGAACAAGGACAUGGCCACCCUUCAUGGAGUCUGUGUCACCAACUUCGCUGUCAAUUCCAAAGAAGACAUCGCCACUGACGUGACCAUCACCAGGGACCUGUCCAAAUGCGACAGCUUCAUUGCCCAGAGGGACCACACCAGCCCCCUGGCUAUCCUCUCUGGCAUGCAAUACCCACUGUCCAAGCUGAUCAGCAGCACCCAGACUUGCAACUACAAGUUUGACAACCAGAAGAAGCACAUGACUGCUGGAUCCUGCACGGAGAAGCACAUCUUCCUCCCUUUCUCCCACCAGACUGAGUAUGGAGUGUCAACAUUGGUCAAACAGACUUUGACUCUCCUGGAGACUAGCAAGAUCAACGAAAGAGUUUUCAACCACAAUGAGGCCAACCUCAAGGGUUUACCCAUGGAGGCUGCUGAGGACAAAGCUGCCGUCCAGACAGCAGAUGCUGCUCUUGCCACCCUGAGGGAACUGAGCACCCUGUCCGAGACCAACCAGGGCCACCAGCGUGCCAGCACCUUCCAGAGACUUGUGUCUGAGCUCCGGGGACUGAAGGGUGAGGCUAUGAGCCCUGCCGUCCCUGAGAUGGUGUUCGUAUCGGACGCCCUGACCUGGCAGGCCCUGGCCCAGUGCGGUACUCCUGAGUGUAGCAGCGCCAUGCUCCAGCAACUCAGGACCUUCGAGCCUGAAGCUAUUGAAGUCGACGCCGCUGUCUAUGCCCUGGGACUCCUGCCCAACCCCUCCCGCCUCCUAGUCAAAGACAUGCUCAGCAUGGCUCAGUACAAACAGAGCAAGCCCAUCAUGUUUGCUUUAGGCAAUGUCGUCAGAAAGCUCUACCAGGCUGAGGGCAAAGUCACCCCCGAGAUUGCUGCUGUGUCUGAGUUCCUUGUCUCCCUUUUGGGUGCUGAUUGUGCUGGAGAAAAGGAGCUGACCUUCCUGACCCUGAGGAUUAUUGGCAACAUAGGAGAAGCCAUGGAGGCCGCCGACGCUACCGUGAAGACCACCCUGCUGAAGUGCAUGAGACAGCCCACCACAACCCUGCAGGUCCAGCUCGCUGCCAUCCAGGCCUUCAGGCGCAUGUCUGUGACCGAUGAGGUGCGCUCUAACCUCCAGAGGGUGAGCUCAUACGCUAAGGGUGCUGUGCAGAAGAGACUGGCAGCCUACCUGAUUCUGAUGAGGACACCUGAGGCAAGUGACCUGGAGCUGGUGAAGAAAAUACUGAAGGCGUCGAUGCAGGAGCAGAAACCAGACGUCCAGGAGCAGAAUGCGCAGGUCAAGGCCUUCGUGACCUCUCACAUCUACAACAUCAUCCACUCCAAUGACCCCGAGACCAUAAAGCUGGGCGAAAAGAUCCUUGAUGUCCUUGCUGACCCUACCAUUGCAACCACUCAUGGUGACUACACUACUAUGUCUCGCAACUACAAGAUGGAUGCUGCCAUGAACAACAUGAAGACCAGCAUGCAAGGAAACAUGAUCUUUGAUCCCACCAGCCAACUGCCCAAGGAGAUCAUGCUUGAGACUACCCUAAAGGCUUUCGGCUAUAACAUGGACAUGUGGGAGAUUGGCAUGGAGGGAAAAGACUUUGAGCCAACUAUUGAGGCUCUGUUCGGAAAGAGCGGGUUCUUCCCUGACACUGUAUCCAAGGCUAUGUACUGGGCUGGAGACAAGAUGCCAGACCAGGUGAACGAGGUUCUGAAGAACUUCGCUGCCCCAUUGAAGAAUGAGAAAACAAAGGUCCCAGAGAACAUCAUGAGGGAGAUUAUCCGCAACUUCAACAAGCUGGCGAAGGAUCUGCAGGCUCAGGAGUCCCCUGAAGCCAUGGCCUAUCUAAGGAUCAUGGGAACUGAGCUUGGAUACAUCAAGGGCAGCGAGCUGAAGGGCAUUGCCCAAUACGCAGCCAUGUACGCUGAGAUCCUCCUCAAGGACAUGCCCGCAAAGUUCAUGCAGAAUAUGGUGGCAGGCACUGACAAUGAAGUGUUUGCCCAUUACAUCUUCAUGGACAACAAGUUUUCCCUGUCAACUGCCUCUGGCUUCCCUCUGAAGUUCUCUCUGUCCGGUACCUUUGCUCCUGGAGCUAAGGGUGGCCUGCGCUUUCACCGCAACAUGCAGGAAGUGUCCUUCAUGCCCUCUGUGGGAGUGGAGUUUGUGACCCAGAUGGGAGUACACAUCCCUGAGUUUACCAGCUCCGUUGUGGAGAUGCACACCAACAUGUACCACGAAAGCGCCGUCAACGCCAAGAUCACCAUGGAGCAGAACCAGAUCAAGCUGGGUAUCCCUGCUCCUCAGGGCUCCACCCAGCUCUUCAGAGUCAGCAACAGAAUGCUGACAGUUACCUCUGGUCAGGCUACUCUGAUCCCCCCCAUGGAUGAGGGCAGGACCAACGUUGUGAACUGCAACCCUCUCUUCUCUGGAGUGAAGUACUGCACCACCGUCCGUUACAACUUAGCUGGUGACAACGCUGCUGCUCCUUAUUUCCCUCUCAAUGGAGAGACUAAGUUUGCUCUUGAUAUCCAGCCCACUGACGAGGUCUCUGAGUACACCGCCACCUUUGCCUAUGACCUCCUUAGCGAGGGAAAGGAGGGACGCCAGAAGGUUGACACCGUGAGGAUGACACUUAGAGCGGAGGGUGCUAAACCCACUGAGGCCACCGCCACCAUGAAGUACAACAGGAACAGGAACAUCCUGACCGCCAACGUCCAGAUCCCCGACUAUGAUGUGGAGGCUGGAAUCAGGAUUGGUCUCACCGACAGCAGAGCCAAUGGAAAGUCCAUCACCAUCGACAUCACCAACAAGAACAUCCCUCAGCUGUCUCUAAUUGGCCGCGCCAAGCUUGAGGCCAUGAGCGACAGUAUGCUGCAGGUCCAGCUGGUUGUCCCUGCCCUCAAGACUGAUGCAGUUAUCACUGCCACUAUGAAGAGUGCAGAGGAACUCACCCUGGAGCUCAGGAGUGACAUCAAGCUCCCCGAGACCACCUCCAUUCAGGGUGUCAUCUUCAAAUACGAUGAGAACAAGGUUGAGGUUCAGCUGGUGUCCGACAUGGGCUCUGAGAUCCAAAAGGUCAUCCCUCAUACCGAAGCCCUCCAGGCAUGGCUGAAGCAGCUCUCUGAGGACAUCCUGGACCAGCAGGUGGUCAAGACCGACAUGAAACUGCGUCAAAUCCUCACCAAAUCUCUUGAGGCCAUCAACAUUUGGAUGGACAAGAUCACCUUUGAUGUUCCCAUGGUUGAGACACUGAAGGACAACAUGCCAGAGCUGGCAAUGCCCACAAUGCCCGAAAGACUGUUCCUGAAAUCUGAGAGCACAUUCAAAUACCAGUUCAACAAGAACCGUGUUACCAUCACCAUCCCCAUGCCAUUCGGAGGAAAGUCAUCUGAGGAGCUGAGGAUCCCUGCCAUGCUGACCACCCCACAUCUGUCCGUGCCCCAGGUCGGUUUGGAGCUUGCCUCCAAGAAGGUCCAGGUCCCCACCUUCUCCAUCCCCAAUGACUACAAGCUCACUGUGCCACUCUUCGGAAUGGUUGAAGUCUCUGCUAAGGUGAACAGCAACUACUAUAACUGGGAGGGAAUGGUCUCCGGUGGCAACAACUCUGUGGAGAGCCCCAGCUACAUUGCCAAGUUUAAGGUGGUAGCUGACAGUCCCAUUGAACUCCUCGCUUUCACAUCUGAAGGAACUGCCCUCAUCACUGACGUGCCAGAAGACUCUCUGAAUGUGAUUUUGAAUGGUUCCCUGAGCCACAAGCUCAUUGACACCAGCUUUGAGGUAAUGGAAACCGUCAGUGUGUCAGACAAAGUGAGAGCCACAGGCAACCACAAGAUUCAGGUCUUCAGCCCUCUGGGUCUGCAGACAUCCUUGGACAUCACUUCGCAGGCCUCCUUGGCCUCUGACAUGCUCAUUGGAGAUGCUAACAUGGAUGGUAGUGUAACCCUUGGAUCCGUGACCGCCAGCACCACUUAUUCCCAGUCUUUCUCUUUCGAACACAUGAAGAAAGAAGCCAGAGCCGAGUCCACACUGAGGGUGAACUCCCCAAUCCUGGAGAUUGUCAACAAGCUCAAGGCCGGCUAUGCUAAUGAGCAGCUUCUGAUUGAGUCCAAUACCAACCUGAACAACGACCCCAUUAAGCACACCACUAAGUUCAGCAUCAGCUACAAAGAGGCCCAGCUGACGAUCCAGUCCGACUCUGUGACCAAGGCUGAAGAGAAAAUGAUCCGCAGCAAAGUGGACUUCACCGCCUCCAGGGAUGAAGCCAUCAUCAGGGUAGAAAACCAGGCUGAUGAUACUGAGAAUCGUGCCUACUCCCUGCUCUCCGGAGCCCUGAACCCCGCCAGCCUAGAGAUCAAUGCAGACGCUUCCGUCAACGUCCUCGGCAACCGCGCCUUCCACAAGGCUGCUCUGACGCUGAACAAGGAAGGUCUAGCAACAAGUGCCACCACCACCGCCCAAAGCAGCCCCAUAACCUUCGAGAAUGUCUUCAAUGGUGGAGUCGAUACCACCGGGGCCCAUGUGUCCAUAAACACCAAGGGGACCUUUGGAGAGACCACCGCCAACCUCAACUUGGAGGGGAAAGUGGCAAGCUCUGAGGUCUACCUAAACAGCAUUUUCAAGGGCAAUCUCUUCGAUGCCAACACCAUGAACAGAGUGAACCUGAAGGUGAAUGAAGAUGGCCUGGCCCUCACCAACAAGCUGGUCGCUGAACUGUAUCAGAUGGAGACUGAGAACACACACAGCCUGACUCUCACUCUUAAAUCUCUGGCCCUCCGCUCCAAGACCGAGAACUUCUUCAACAAGGAGAACACCUACAAGCACGACAUCUCUGUCGACAUUCAGCGCUUGGGUGUUGCUGUGAACGUGAAAAACGACCUCAAGAUCACAGAGAUUAACUUUGUCAAUGAGGCUAUGUUCAAGGUAGAGAAUUACAAGAUGGAACUGACCGGCAGCCUGAAGGGAGUCUCUUCCGAAGAGGCCAAUUUCAAGCACACUUAUGAGAUCAGUUUUGCUGACAUGACCACCACUGCUAAGUGCAACACCAAUGGAAAAUAUGCACUCUCUCAGAUGACACACACUGCUGACCUCGAGAUUGCUGGUCUGUCCACCAAGUUCAACAGCUUGGCUAGCAUCAACUCUGAAGCACUGAACUUGGACAGCACUGUCAACGUUGUCGCUGAGCCAUUCAUGGUUGACAUUUCUGCUCUAUUCAACUCCAACGGAACUCCGAAUAUGUUUGGAAUUCAGAACAUUGAGCUGUUCAACCAGUUCCUGUUGAAGGCAGAGCCCCUGGCUUUCUCCCACUCCCACGAAUGCAAGGCCUCCACCAGCCUCCAGCUGGAAAAUGGAGACUCUGUCAAGACCAACCUGGACAACAAGAUCACCAGUCGUCUGACUCCCCAGGAGCAGUAUGCCUCAAUGAAGAUGACAUCCAAACUGAAUAACCAUGAAUUCAACCAAGAGCUUAGCGCCUUGAACAAUGCUGAAACUAUGGGAAUGGAGAUGACAGGAGCUGUCUUCACCACAAUCUUGAACAAGGCCGGUGAAAACGAGGAAUACGCCAUCUCUGGUUCCCUGAAGUACGAGAAGAAUGUUGACAGCCAUUUCAUUCUGCUGCCAUUUGUUGAGCAUCUCCCUGCAGUCAUUGAACAAGUCAAAAUUGCCACGAUGAUGACAAUGGAAAACAGCAAAGGCCUGCUGCUAGAUAUUGACACCAAAUACAAAAUUAGAGCAAAGAUCCAGGGGAAAGUGGGUGAACUGAAACAAGUUGUUGAGAGCUUCGACAUCAACCUGUUCAUUCAGGACCUGAAGAACUUCAUCAAUUCCAUUGAAAGCCACAUUCCUACACUGAUAGCCAAGAUUCCCACUGAAGAAAUCAUGAAUGUCCUGAAGUCAAUCAGGGACACUAUUAUGAGGUGGAUCAAGAAAAAUGACAUCACUGGCAAGAUAAAUGCUGUUUACACCAAAAUUGAAGAGAUCCUGUCCAAUUACGAGGUUGAAAAGAUGGUUGAGAACAUCAUGGAUGAGGUUGUGGAAAUCAUGAAGUCCUACCAGCUCAGAGAACACAUUCAGUCAGCAAACAAUGCUCUUAAGUCUAUUGAUAUCCAAGCCAUGCUGAACAAAAUCAUGUCACAUGUGAAUGAGUUUGUAAAUGAACUGAAUGCCUUUGACUUCAAGCAAAUGGUAGACAACAUCAGUGUCUAUUUCGAUAGACUGACAGAGAAGAUCAGGUCUUUUGAUUAUAACACAUUCGCCGAGGAGCUGAAACAGAAAGUCAUCGAACUGAGCAGGGUCCCCUGUUUCGGAAAACUCCACGGAGAGUUCAGUGUCAUCUCACCUGACUACAUUAUGAGCACCAAUGCUGAGUUCCGGAAUGCCACAACUACCGAAGUGACACCAGAGUUCUACGCUAUCCUCAAAUCUCAGGCCACUUCUACCUUUGAUCUGUUCGCCUACACCCUGGAUGCCAAAGUUGACAUUGCUGUGCCCAAGAUGAGCCACCUGUCUGUUUCUGAGAACAUCAAGAUCGUGCACAGGGACUUCUCCGUGGACCACCAAGGAACAGUUGCCUUCUACAGCACAUCAGUCCAGGCGUCCUCCAAGACCAAUGCCAAGGCCACAACUGAGCCCUACACCGCCGAGCUGGUUAGCAAUGCCUUCUUCGACAUGGAGAAUGGAGUCUCUACCACACUGGAGACUACAUACAACCACAAUGUGAACCUCCCAUUUCUCAACAUCUUCAGCAAGGCUGCCAUAACCCAGAAGGCAUUUGCUCGCCUGGAAGGUGGCAUUGUCACUCUGACUCUUACCAAUGAGGGUAACGGUAAAUCUGCCAUCCAGGAUUACUCCGAUGAAGGAACCCACAAGUAUGACAUGCAGAUUGUAAUGAACCUCAACACUGUCAAACUGAUCUUCACUGGGGUAACCGACACCAACAACCUGAAAAUGAAGCAGAAUGUGAAUGCUGAAGCCAGCAUUUUCAGUCACAUCAUCAUUGAAGCCAACACUGAGACCGAAACUCCCUUCAUCAAAAGCAGUGUUGCUGAGCUGAAAGCAGAGGCUAAGGUGCAGGAUCUGAAAAUUGAGGUAACUGCCUACUGCAACACAGAGCUGGUAGGCAAAGUUGAGGGAAUUAUUUCCAACUCAAUCAACUUCAUCGCUACACCCUAUGAGUUUGUGUUUGACACCAAGAACAAGGAAAACACCAAGAUUGCGCUUCCCUUCAAGUUGACUGGAAAGAUUGAUCUUCAGAAUGACUUUGCCUUUACCCUCAACUCUGGAGUGCAGCAGGCUAGCUGGACUGGACUGGCACGAUUCAACCAGUACAAAUACUCACACUACUUCACAAUGGACAACGGUGAGCAGGAAAUCCACAUCUUCGCCCAGAUCAAUGGAGAAGUGAACCUUGAUGCGUUGAAGGAGCCCAUCUCCAUUCCCAAAAGAGCUGUAGAAUUCAUAGGUAGGACUGAGUUCUCUCUGUGGGAGGACACCGGUCUGAGUGUGCUCUUGACCACACCUCAGCAGACCUUUGACAUGGACACCAAGCUCACAUACAAGAAGAACCCUGAGAUGAUCACCAUUGGCAUUGACAUGGAGCCAAUCUUCAAUGCCAUCAACAAGCACACCAGGAGUCUGAACAAGAACAUGAUCGUUGGAAGGGACAAGGCUGUUGCCAUUCUCUCUACAUCAUUUGACCAGGCAAAGGCAGAGUACGAGAAAUACAACAUUGAGCUACCCAAAACUCUCACUGUUCCGGCACACAUAGUUCCAGUGCUGAAUAUUGAAGUGUCUGGUUUCACCAUUCCUGUGCCUGACUUCAGUCUCAUCACAAUGCCUACUAUGCAUGUUCCAUCUGCUCUUAGCAAGCUGACCCUGCCAAAAAUCACUCUGCCCAAAAUGCAGAGCAACAUCAUGAUCCCUAUCUUCGGUGACCUGACCUACGAGUUCUCCAUGAAGACAGCUGUCCUGACAGUGAAGGCAAAUGCUGCUGUUCUCAAUCAGGAUGACAUCAUUGUCCGAUUUGACGCUUCCUCUACCUCUGAAUUUGAUGCUCUGAAGGCCAAGAUUGAUGGUAGCGCCACCUUGAACAGGAACAAUGGAUUGAAACUGGCCUCUAUCCUGAAUUUGGAAGCGAUGUAUGUUCAGGGCAGCCAUGACAGCACCAUCAGCCUCAAUAGCGAUGGUAUGGAUGCCUCCAUCACAAAUACAGCUACCCUCUGGACUCUGGAAGUCAACCAGGAGGUCUUUGGAAAUGCCCAGGAAGGCCUCAUUAUCUCUGUGUCUUCUCCAAAUGCCGGACUCCUAGGACUCCAGCUGCAGGCCAAGAAACCACCCCAAGUGAAAGGAAGACUCUACGGCAGAUACCCGUCUGAACCCACCACUGAUGUGGAGAUCAUGGCCCUGAAAAUGUCUGUGAUCAACUCUGAGAAGCUGAACAUUCAGACCACCUGGAAUAUGGAGGUUCCCACUGAGAUGCUCCUGGUAGUGAAGGCGAAGGUGCCUGAGAUCAUGUCAGCAGUUUGCAUGGAGGAUAUCCUAUCUGCUCCCCAGAAGAUAGCCGACAGACUUGAGGGUAGUAUGGAACAGAUCACGGAUCAAGGCAAGGUCAUCUACAAGAGGGCUGCAGAAAACAUUGCAGCUAUGGAUCUUACAGCCAUCACAGACAAGCUCUCCAACAGUGUCAUUUUCGUCCUCAGACAGUACCAGAAGAAUGUUCAGGUUUUGCUCGAUGCUGCCAUCAAGUUCCUGAGAGAGACCCAGUUCCAGAUGCCUGGACUUGAGGGAAAGAUGUCCGGUCUUGAGGCCUACCAGAAACUGAGUAGAUUAUUUGCUGAAUUGGUUGAGGAAGCUAUCAAGAAGGUUCCAGAAUUCUUUGCCUCCCAUGGUGCAGCUCUCCUUGAAAAGAUCAGAAACAUCAAAUUCACACUUCCAGGCUCCAGCAACCUGGUCAGCGGGAGAGAAAUCCUGGAUGACCUGAUGGCUGCCAUUGAGAAGAUUCAGAAGCAGGUGAUCAUCAUUGUGAAGAGAGUCGGAGAUGUCCCUCUGGAGGAUAUUGUGAGCAGGCUGUCUGCAUUCCUGCGCUUAACCGUGCAGAAAACCGAAGAGCUCAUUGUCUCCCUGAAAUCUCAGGAUAUGGAGAAACUCACCGUGUGGAUGAGUGACGUCUUCAGCGAAGCCAUCGACUCCCUUGCCAUGUCUGAUAUUGCACAGCAGAUGGAGGAAGCCAAGAGAAUUAUCCGAGAAUAUCGCGACCUCUUUGCUGAAAUGUCCAUUGAGCAGAUCAAUGCUGACAUCCAGUCUUGGAUUGACUCUGUGAUUCAGAGUAUUAACGCCAUCCACAUCAAGGUUACGGAGUUCCUUCAGGACAUUACCAGAAAUGCUGAGUCUUUUGUGACAGUGAGUGACAAACAGAUGGACAUUGAAAUUCCUAUUCCAUUCAUUGCUCAGCUUAACAUAGGCACGUGUAGCAGUGUCGAACACCUCCCGAAUACCAUCCUUCGUUUUAGCAGAACACUCCAAAUAGUCAUAUGCACCAAUGCGCAUGGCCAUGGCGCGCCCGUCCUCUGUUUUCACUGGUUCCUGUUUCAUUCUGGACAGCUCGCUCCUAACAUUCUCGUCGUUGCGCAAGUCUCUUUUGUUGGCAACUAAAAUAAUGGGCACGUUGGGACAAAAGUGCUUUACCUCUGGCACCCAUUUCUCGGGGAUGUUUUCGAGGGAGUCCGGGCUGUCCACGGAAAAGCACAUCAGGAUGACAUCAGUGUCCGGAUAGGAUAGCGGGCGUAGGCGAUCGUAGUCCUCUUGUCCAGCCGUGUCCCACAGUGCUAGUUGGACUUGCUUGGUGUCCACUUCAAUGUCGGCCACAUAGUUGUCAAAUACAGUUGGCACAUAGACCUCAGGAAACUCGUCUUUGCUGAACACAAUCAGCAAGCAGGUCUUUCCACAGGCGCCGUCGCCGACUACGACCAGCUUUUUUCGUAUCUCUGCCAUUUGCUUCUCUUAACGUUUCCCCGUGGAAUGAGUGUUCCAUGCAGCAUCCUAGGUAUGAAUGACGUGGCCUGGCAGGAGACACGAGGCGGGAUGCUGCACACAAACGGUGCUCCUGAAGCCGGGAGCGUCGGAGUUCACGGAGGGGGAUCCCUGGCUGCCAUGGGGGUUGCAGGUCAGGGUCCUGGAGGGCCACACCGUCUGCAGGGACCCAACCCCAUCCCAGGCACCCCACAGCCUCCACUAAGUGGGCGCUCUCAGGAUGAUGCCACAGUGGGCUACUUCUUCCAGAGGCAGCCUGGGGAGCAGCUGGGAGGUUGCACCUCCAGCAAGCACCGUUGGCCCACUGGAGACGGCAACCACGUUGACCAGGUUCGAACUGUGGAUGAGAUGAACUAUGGUUUUCAAGCCCUUGCUUUGGAGUCCAGGGGCAUGGGUGAGCUCCUGCCAGCAAAAAAACUGUGGGAUUCGGAUGACUUGUCCAAGGAUGGAAGGAAAGGGAUGCUCCUUGGAGAGGAAUGGCGGGAGAAUGCUUGGGGAUCUUCUCAUCACUCUGUGUCCCAACCAAUCAUGGUGCAGCGACGACCCGGACAGGGUUUCCAUGGGAACGGUGACGCCAACUCCGUGCUCUCCCCUCGCUCUGAGGGCGGAGGCCUGGGCGUGAGCAUGGUGGAGUACGUCCUGAGCUCCUCCCCCGGGGACAAGAUGGAUGGCCGCUACAGGAACGGUGGCUACGGCGGCGGGGACGCUGACCCGGACGGGAGGGAGAAUAGUAACGCCCAAGAUCAGACGUCCCCGUUUGAAGAGGACAAGAGCCCAGAAAUGAAAGUGGGAGAGGAGAGUGAUGCGGCCAAGGCCAAUGGGAGAGGCCUGCUCAAUGGCAUGGACAGAGACUGCAAAGACUUCAAUCCCACCCCAGGAAGUCGCCAGGCCUCCCCCCACCGAGGCGGUGGAGAGGAUGGGCCCCGGCCAGACUGGGCUGGAGAUGAUGGUCCAGCACCAGCAGCACCAGCAUCAGCAACACCACCUCCAGCACCAGACCAUGCAGCCCCAGAACAAGCCCCAGCAGCAGGAUGACUUCCAGAGCCAGGAGGCCCAGAACAUGGGCAACAUGGAGCAGCAGCAGGGUGUGGAGUCACUCCAGUUCGACUACGCCGGCAACCAGAUCCAGGUAGACUCCUCCGGCACCCCCGUCGGCCUGUUUGACUACAACUCCCAGCAGCAGUUGUUCCAGAGGUCCAACCAUCUGACUGUCCAGCAGCUCACUGCUGCCCAGCAGCAACAGUAUGCCCUGGCUGCUGCCCAGCAACAACACCUUGCCGGCCUUGCUCCCGCGUUCGUGCCAAACCCAUACAUCAUCAACACUGGACCCCCCGGAACCGACCCUUACACCGCUGCAGGACUGGCCGCAGCAGCUACACUUGCCGGGCCUACAGUGGUUCCUCCCCAGUACUAUGGUGUUCCUUGGGGCGUGUACCCUGCCAACCUCUUCCAGCAACAGGCUGCCAGUCACAACGCUAACCAGCAGGGAUCCAAUCAAGGACCGGGGCCAGGACAGCAACAGGUGAUGCGCCCCGGGAACAACCAGCGCCCUCUCACCCCUGGUCAGGGCCAGCAGAGCCAGCAGGAGUCUCUGGCAGCAGCUGCCGCCGCCAACCCUGCCCUCGCCUACGCUGGUAUGCCAGGUUACCAGAUGCUGGCCCCCGCCGCUUACUACGACCAGAACGGAACCCUGGUGAUGGCCCCUGGGGCCCGCGGUGGUCUGGGAGGGCCCGUCCGCCUGGUCCAAACCCCGCUCCUCAUCAACCCACAGGCCGCAGCGCAGGCUGCGGCUGCGGCGUCAGCGUCCGGCUCGGGCAACAACAUGUCAGGCCCCCAGCCCAACGGUCUGUACCGCUCCAUGUCCCAACCCCAGCAGCAGCCCCAGCAGCAGCAGAACCAGGGCCUACCCUCCAGCUCCUUCUACGGCUCUGGGUCGGUGCCGGCCAGCUCCCAGAGCAGCUCCCUGUUCUCCCAUACCUCCCAGGCUCCACCGCCCACCUCGUCUCUAGGAUUCAGCGGUGCCGGCGGCUCCCUGGGCGUGGGCCUGGGCUCGGCGCUCGGAGGCUUCGGCUCCUCAGUGUCGAGCUCCACCAGCAGCAGUGUGUCUCGCCGGGACUCCCUGCUGGCCAACUCGGACCUGUACAAGCGUGGAGGUGGUAGCAGCCUCACCCCCAUUGGUCAGCCCUUCUACAACAGCCUGGGCUACUCCUCGCCCAGUCCCAUUGGCCUAACACCGGGCCACUCCCCCCUCACACCCCCACCCUCUCUGCCCUCCUCUCAUGGCUCCUCCUCCAGCCUUCACCUGGGCGGCCUGACGAACGGUAGCGGGCGUUACAUCUCGGCGGCGCCCGGCGCGGAGGCCAAGUACCGCAGUGCGGGGGGCACCUCCAGCCUGUUCAGCUCCAGCAGCCAGCUAUUCCCGCCGUCUCGGCCCCGCUACAGCCGCUCAGACGUCAUGCCCAGCGGACGCAGCCGCCUGCUGGAGGACUUCCGCAACAACCGCUUCCCCAACCUGCAGCUGCGUGACCUGCCCGGCCACAUGGUGGAGUUCUCCCAGGACCAGCACGGCUCCAGGUUCAUCCAACAGAAGCUGGAGAGAGCCACCCCAGCAGAGAGACAGAUGGUGUUUGGGGAGAUCCUGCAAGCAGCCUACCAGCUGAUGACAGACGUGUUUGGCAACUACGUCAUCCAGAAGUUCUUUGAGUUUGGCAGUGCGGAUCAGAAGCUGGCUCUGGCCACGCGUAUCCGAGGCCACGUGCUGCCCCUGGCCCUGCAGAUGUACGGCUGCCGGGUCAUCCAGAAGGCCCUGGAGUCUAUCUCCUCUGACCAGCAGGUAAUUAGUGACAUCGUACGAGAACUGGACGGCCACGUGCUGAAGUGUGUGAAGGAUCAGAACGGGAACCAUGUGGUGCAGAAGUGUAUCGAGUGUGUCCAGCCCCAGGCCCUGCAGUUCAUCAUCGACGCCUUCCAGGGCCAGGUGUUUGUGCUGUCCACCCACCCUUACGGCUGCAGGGUGAUUCAGAGGAUCCUGGAGCACUGCACACAGGAGCAGACCCUGCCCAUCCUGGAGGAGCUGCACCAGCAUUCUGAGCAGCUCGGCCAGAAAUAUCAAGGCGUUUCAUUGGAGAUGACACCCAAAACAUAUUAUACAGUUUCCAGCGACGCACUGUUUAAGGAUCAGUACGGCAACUACGUCAUCCAGCAUGUCCUGGAGCACGGCAGACCCGAAGAUAAGAGCAAAAUUGUGGCAGAGGUCCGCGGAAAAGUGCUCCUCCUGAGCCAGCACAAAUUUGCAAGUAACGUGGUGGAGAAGUGCGUGAUCCACUCGUCCCGUGCCGAGCGGGCCCUGCUGAUUGACGAGGUGUGCUGCCAGAAGGACGGCCCCCACAGCGCCCUGUACACCAUGAUGAAGGACCAGUAUGCCAACUACGUGGUGCAGCGGAUGAUCGACAUGGCCGAGCCCGCCCAGCGCAAGAUCAUCAUGCACAAGAUCCGGCCCCACAUCGCCACCCUGCGCAAGUACACCUACGGCAAGCAUAUCCUGGCCAAGCUAGAGAAAUACUACAUGAAGAGUAGCUCUGACCUGGGGCCCAUCGGAGGGCCCACCAACGGCCUCAUGUAGUCCUGCCUUCUGUGUCCACUGACUAAAGGCCAGAGUAGGAGCUGCCCCCCCCUAACCUUAUUUCUAGUUAUGUAAAGAGGUGCUCCUGAGCCAUCAGGGCUGACCUUUGACACCCUCUGAAUUACCAAAAAGAUUUAAACGUCACCUGUGAAAUGCUGUGACAUCUGACCCCUGCAACUCUAAUGCUACCCUCCGUGCUUGUGGCCACCAUGGAGGGUAGCAGACAGUUUUGCAGGCAAUCUCUUGGUUAAAGCACAGCCCCCCCCCCCCCCCCUCACACACAAUUUGUUUAUGAUGUAACUGGCUGGUUUUUCUUAUAUAAUCCUGUACAUUUAGUUUUUUUACCUUGUAAAUUCUCUGUAGAAAAAAAAAAAGAAACGCAUUUGCUGAUAAUGUACAAUUCUUACAAUUACACCAGCAAGUGACUUUAUAAGGCCGAACUUGAGUGAUCCUUUUAAACAAUUUUUCAUUUGUUUUUGUACCCAGACUUACUACUACUAUCAGCUGUUAUGAUUAAAAGCCAGGUGUUUAAAUAUAUAUAUACAAUUAUCUUUCUACUACCACAAAAUGAUCCCAAUGCCAAAGCAGCUGAUGGAUCCAUUUCUACUUCUUGCACUGCAUAGUAUGGAUAGAUUAUGAAACUCAUCUGUCCCACUGACGAUUACUAUGUCUCUCGUGCCAAUGAGUUAGUCAUCCACUGGUCUCUACUUGAACACCUACAAUGCUUUGUGCUUCAUCUUUAGUGGAGUGUCAUCCACUUGCCGGCUUGUGAUCGCCGCAUGCCUCUGUUUUUCCGCAGACUGACCUCCUCUUUCUCUCACACUGUUUGCUUGAUUUGACUAGUCGGCUCCGGGCGACAAAUGGCAUGGUUGUUCAACAGUGCACAUAUGCUGUUGCAUCUGUAAGCAGUGAUUCCACUAAAUCCCACCUAUACGGUCUUUCCUUUUCUCGCAGAUCAUUCAAUGGCUGCUUGGGCUUACAGCAGACACGGGUAGCGUGGACGUUUAUUCUCUUUCAAAAGCAGAGCACAAGGUUGGGUUGUAUAGUGGAAGUGUAACUUGGUUGUAAUCUUUACAGUAAAUGACCGUAGCGGGGGCGUGUGUGGGUGGGGGGUGGGGGGGUAAGCAUAGGCAUGCUGUAACAGGUUUUUAAUAACUUGACUGAUUUCUUUAUCAUGUUUUGUGGAACAUCUAUCUGUCUUGUAGUUUUGAGAUGAACACUGCCCUAGAAGCGGUAUCUUUAUGUACUGAAUAUUCAUCUCUUGCGUAGAAAUAGUUUAGCAAAAAUGUAUAGCAUCUUUGUGUAUGAGUAAAUAUUAAAUGGUUGCUUUUUUGGCUAGGGGGCUUGGGGUAAGUUUUUAUUUAAAAAAACUUUUUGAAGUGGCUCAUCCCAAGUAUGUAAAGCGGAGGGUAGAAUUGGGAAUGAAAUUAGGAAAAAUAACAGGAUGGUUUUAUGCGAGAACGACCGUCAUGAGGUUGUUUUAAUUUAGUUAUUCCUCAUUUUAAUUUUUCUUCUGGUCUGAAUAUUCAAGUGAAUUAGGUGGGGUGAGUAGUGGGGCCAUCUAAAAAGCUACACAACUCCUCUGUGACGCUAGUAGUAAUGGCUUUUGCUUCAUAUGAAUAAUUGUAGAAUACGUGUAGUAUAUGUGCAGUUGAUAAGUGUGUAAGUUUAAUUGGUGUUUGACAGGCCUUGAUAAAUUGGUAGUGAUGCUUUUUAUUUUGUCUGUACAGUUGUACAUUUGUAAACGUUGAUGCUGUAAAUGGAUGUCUUUUACACUUUUGGGGGAAAAAUUGCCUAAAUGUGCAUUUUGAUGUAUGUGUGUGUAUAUUCAUCACUCCUUUCCCCUCAAAUAUAAUGUAUACAGUUUUAUUUGAUCAAGCGUUAUUUUAAAACAAUCUUUUUAUGGCUUCUCGAUCUGACAUGGUUUUGUUUUAAAUCUGUUAUGAGAAAGGUCGGCCUCGUUUUGUAUGCGGAGCUUUAUAACGUCUCCUGUUUAUAUUGUCUUUCUGACGUGUGACAGUUUUAAAGGAACACCAAUGCUCUGUACUUAAAAUGAGGCUGCUUCUGGUCCCCUCUGCUGCCAUGGAAACUUCACAGGAUAUGACAGAAUUAUUUUUGUACAGAAGAGUGCUGUAUUUUGGAACAGCUACUACCUUGUAAGCAAAAGAAAUGUAAGAUAUUGUCAAUUAUAUAAAUAUGAACAUAUGAGUUUUGUCACACUGUCAAAGUCUUGUACAUUUUCAGGUGGCCUUAUGUACAUUUCCAGACAUUUAGAUGAAGAAAAAAAUACUCAUUUUUUGGAAGCAGAAUUGUGGCUGUAUGAUUAAACCGUUCUAACAUUUGA